AUGAACGCUAGCUACAGGCUUAACACAUGCAAGUCGCGGGGCAGCAUGGGGGUUGCUUGCCAUCCCCGAUGGCGACCGGCGCACGGGUGAGUAACGCGUAUUCAACCUGCCCUUCACCACGGGAUAACCCGGCGAAAGUCGGACUAAUACCGUAUGUUGUCCAUUGACGGCAUCCGAUUUGGACGAAAGGCUUGGCGGUGAGGGAUGGGGAUGCGUCCGAUUAGCCAGACGGCGGGGUAACGGCCCACCGUGGCUACGAUCGGUAGGGGUUCUGAGAGGAAGGUCCCCCACACUGGAACUGAGACACGGUCCAGACUCCUACGGGAGGCAGCAGUGGGGAAUAGUGGUCAAUGGGCGUAAGCCUGAACCAGCCAAGUAGCGUGCAGGAUGACGGCCCUAUGGGUUGUAAACUGCUUUUAUGCGGGGAUAAAGUGGCCCACGUGUGGGCUUUUGCAGGUACCGCAUGAAUAAGGACCGGCUAAUUCCGUG
rnacentral:rRNA from 1 species